GCCAGCAUGGCAUAGUGGUUUGAGCGUUAGACGACACAACUCUGGAAACCAAGGUUCGAUUCCUGGCUUGGCC